rnacentral:rRNA from 1 species
UUCCGGUUGAUCCCGCCGGAGAUAACCGUUAUCAGGGUUCGAUUAAGCCAUGCGAGGCGCGAGCUAUCUGGGCUCGCCGCACUGCUCAGUAACACGUAGUUAACUUGCCCUUGGGUGGGGGAUAAUCUUGCGAAAGUGAGGCUAAUACCCCAUAGAUUGCGGAGGCUGGAAUGCACUGCAAUUCAAAGCUCCGGCGCCCAAGGAUAGGACUGCGGCGUAUCAAGGUCGUUGUCAGUGUAAAGAACUGACAAGCCGAUAACGCGUAGGGGCCAUGAGAGUGGGAGCCUCGAGAUGCGCUCUGAGACAUGAGCGCAGGUCCUACGGGACGCAGCAGGCGCGAAAACUUUCCAAUUGCUUCACGGCUGAGAAGGGAACCUUGAGUGGAUAUGCUAUUGCAUAUUCUUUUGCCAAGUCCAAAUAGCUUGGCGAAUAAGGGCUGGGUAAGACGGGUGCCAGCCGCCGCGGUAAUACCCGCGGCCCGAAUGGUUAUCGCGUUUAUUGGGUCUAAAGCGUCCGUAGCCGGUUAGGCAAGUCCCUUGUGAAAUCUGGCAGCAAACUGUCAGGCGUGCUGGGGAUACUACCAAACUUGGGAUCGGGAAAGGGACAAGGUAUUCCGCGUGUAGGGGUUAAAUCCUUUAAUCCGCGGAGGACCACCUGUGGCGAAGGCGUUGUCCUGGAACGAGUCCGACGGUGAGGGACGAAAGCUGGGGGAGCGAAUGGGAUUAGAUACCCCAGUAGUCCCAGCUGUAAACAAUGCCCGUUUGGUGUUGCAGUUCUUACGAGGAACUGCAGUGCCGGAGCGUAGGUGUUAAACGGGCCACCUGGGGAGUACGGCCGCAAGGUUGAAACUUAAGGGAAUUGGCGGGGGAGCACACAAGGGGUGGAGGCUGCGGUUCAAUUGGAUUCAACGCCGGACAUCUUACCAUGGCCGACGGCAGAAUGAAGGUCAACCCAACGGGUUUACCAGACAAGCCGAGAGCAGUUGCAUGGCCAUUGUCAGCUCGUACCUUGAGGCGUGCCGUUAAGUCGGUUAACGAGCGAGACCCACACCGUCAGUUGCAACCAUAUCGUCUCCAAGCAAUUGGAAGCCGAUGUGAGCACUCUGGCGGGACCGCCACUGCUAAAGUGGAGGAAGGAGUGGGCGACAGUAGGUCCGUAUGGCGCGGAUGCCAUGGGCUACACGCGGCCUACAAUGCGUCAGACAAUGCGAUGCAACGCCGAAAGGCGAAGCUAAUCGCCCAAACUGACGCUCAGUUCAGAUUGCGGGCUGCAACUCGCCCGCAUGAAGCCGGAAUCCCUAGUAGGCGGGCGUCAUAAUCGCUCGCCGAAUACGUCCCUGCUCUUUGCACACACCGCCCGUC